rnacentral:lncRNA from 1 species
ACCCUUGGAACCUUGGGAAAUGAACACCUGUGGUACGGAGUUUCCUUGUGGAUUGUUCCUGUUCUUUGGCUUAUUGGAGAAGCUACUAUUUGUUUUCAAAUUAUUUUGUACAAUAUGACUUCAGUGAUUGCUGCUGCAGGAGUCUCGGGUCACAGACACGCUCAACCACCAACCUCUCUCUUUGAGUUAACCUGGCCAGCAAUGGAGCGUCCACUUCAGCACCACUUAUUAUCCAAAGUGAGGAUUUUAAAAGUGUUGGAGCUGGACAAACACACGCCUGCUCUGCAGCAUGAACGAUUUCUCCAGAAGUACUUCUCCCCAUGGCUCACUGUCAUGGAACCACAAUGGCCACCCUGCACAGAGGGGCUUGAAGGAAAUAGCUCCUAAGAUGGAGACAAAAAAGCGUUGAGUACCAUAUAUGAGGUU